rnacentral:rRNA from 1 species
UACGUAGGGUCCGAGCGUUGUCCGGAAUUACUGGGCGUAAAGGGCUCGUAGGCGGCCAACUAAGUCGGAUGUGAAAUCCCCAGGCUUAACCUGGGAACUGCAUCCGAUACUGGAUGGCUUGAAUCCGGGAGAGGGAUGCGGAAUUCCAGGUGUAGCGGUGAAAUGCGUAGAUAUCUGGAGGAACACCGGUGGCGAAGGCGCAUCCUGGACCGGCAUUGACGCUGAGGAGCGAAAGCCAGGGGGAGCAAAACGGGG